AACGAACGCUGGCGGCAUGCCUAACACAUGCAAGUCGAACGAGACCUUCGGGUCUAGUGGCGCACGGGUGCGUAACGCGUGGGAACCUGCCCUUAGGUUCGGAAUAACUCCCCGAAAGGGGUGCUAAUACCGGAUAAUGUCUUCGGACCAAAGAUUUAUCGCCUUUGGAUGGGCCCGCGUUGGAUUAGCUAGUUGGUAGGGUAAAAGCCUACCAAGGCGACGAUCCAUAGCUGGUCUGAGAGGAUGAUCAGCCACACUGGGACUGAGACACGGCCCAGACUCCUACGGGAGGCAGCAGUGGGGAAUAUUGGACAAUGGGCGAAAGCCUGAUCCAGCAAGGCCGCGUGGGUGAUGAAGGCCUUAGGGUUGUAAAGCUCUUUUACCCGGGAUGAUAAUGACAGUACCGGGAGAAUAAGCGCCGGCUAACUCCGUG
rnacentral:rRNA from 1 species